AGUGAACGCUGGCGGUAGGCCUAACACAUGCAAGUCGAACGGCAGCACAGUAAGCGCUUGCUCUUACGGGUGGCGAGUGGCGGACGGGUGAGGAAUACAUCGGAAUCUACUUUUUCGUGGGGGAUAACGUAGGGAAACUUACGCUAAUACCGCAUACGACCUACGGGUGAAAGCAGGGGAUCUUCGGACCUUUCGCGAUUGAAUGAGCCGAUGUCGGAUUAGCUAGUUGGCGGGGUAAAGGCCCACCAAGGCGACGAUCCGUAGCUGGUCUGAGAGGAUGGUCAGCCACACUGGAACUGAGACACGGUCCAGACUCGUACGGGAGGCAGCAGUGGGGAAUAUUGGACAAUGGGCGCAAGCCUGAUCCAGCCAUACCGCGUGGGUGAAGAAGGCCUUCGGGUUGUAAAGCCCUUUUGUUGGGAAAGAAAAGCAGCAGGUUAAUACCCCGCUGUUCUGACGGUACCCAAAGAAUAAGCACCGGCUAACUUCGUG
rnacentral:rRNA from 1 species